CAGAGGUCCCGAGCGUUGUUCGGAUUCACUGGGCGUAAAGGGUGCGUAGGUGGUGAGGUAAGUCGGAUGUGAAAUCUCCGGGCUCAACCCGGAAAUGGCAUUGGAAACUGCCUUGCUAGAGGAUUUGAGGGGGGGAUUGGAAUACUUGGUGUAGCAGUGAAAUGCGUAGAUAUCAAGUGGAACACCAGUGGCGAAGGCGAAUCCCUGGAAAAUACCUGACACUGAGGCACGAAAGCUAGGGGAGCAAACAGGAUUAGAUACCCUGGUAGUCCUAGCCCUAAACGGUGCUUGCUUGCUGUAAGUGGAAUCGACCCCACUUGUGGCGGAGCUAACGCGUUAAGCAAGCCGCCUGGGAAGUACGGUCGCAAGAUUG
rnacentral:rRNA from 1 species